CGCUGUCCUCAAGCAAAUCCCUUUCAGGUUCUCACGAGAGCCGCUGAAACAUUAUCUAAAUCCCGUCUUCCUGUUACAGAUGAGGAAACUGGGGCGCACCUUGGCUUAUUCAAGGUGUCCUCAGAUAUCAAGUGGCAGAGCUGAUGCUGGAGUCUCAGGCGAGAGCAGCACCCUUUGACCUUUUCAACUCUUACCCGCCUGAAAAUGGAGGAAAAAAGGGACAAUAAUGCCUGCUCUACCUUCCAAGGAUGUUGAAAUUAUCAAACAGAUUGUGGAUAUUCAAGUGAUUUGGAAAACUCUCAGAUUCUAGAGCCACCCGGAUUGGAAGCGGCUAAACGGCCUCCCACCCUUAAUCUCACUGUCUGAAUGAUAAAUCCUGCAGGACUGCUCCUUCCAUUCAAGCCCUUCACACUCUCCUUUGAGGAGCUGCUCCCUCCACCCCCCCGAAUUGUGUGACCCGAUGACCAAUUGGAGAUGCCACAAGGAACAAAACUCAGCGAGGCCAGAAGGUCGUUUGGUGCCCAAACUGCCACUCUAGGAAAUGUCUGCAAAUUCAUCCGUGUAAUGUAGUUGAUCAAUGAAGACAACAUGGUGUGUUUGCAUUCUCUCUCGCCCCAAGGAAGCUCAGAGGAACAAAAUGGUAACUGAUCACUUGGACUUUGUUGUCCAGUAAUCAUGAAAGACACAAAGGAUCCUGGUUCUUCUCCCUAUGAUGAGCUGCAAUCCCGAGGAUUUAUUGUGAGAAAAGGGGGCAGAUUCAAGGGUACAACAGUCUGUGGUCUUGAAAUAGGACAAAGGUAUUGGUUCCUUACAGGAAUAAAGCCAGUGAACUUAGA